UCCGAGUUGUCCCCGGCAGUCCCCUUAGAGUCCCCGGCAUCACCCGCUGGCAACUAAGGGCAGGGGUUGCGCUCGUUGCGGCACUUAAGCCAACACCUCACGGCACGAGCUGACGACAGCCAUGCAGCACCUGUGCAGGCUCCGAAGAGCACCCGCUUUCACGGGUUUCACCCUGCAUGUCAAGCCCAGGUAAGGUUCUUCGCGUCGCAUCGAAUUAAGCCACAUGCUCCGCCGCUUGUGCGGGUCCCCGUCAAUUCCUUUGAGUUUUAAUCUUGCGAUCGUAGUUCCCAGGCGGAGUGCUUAACGCGUUAGCUUCGGCACGGAGGGGGUCGAUACCCCCCAUACCCAGCACUCAUCGUUUAUGGCGUGGACUAC
rnacentral:misc_RNA from 1 species